rnacentral:rRNA from 1 species
UACGUAGGUGACAAGCGUUGUCCGGAUUUACUGGGCGUAAAGAGCGCGCAGGCGGUCGUUCAAGUCGAGUGUGAAAGCCCCCGGCUCAACUGGGGAGGGUCACUCGAUACUGAUCGACUCGAAGGCAGGAGAGGGUAGUGGAAUUCCCGGUGUAGUGGUGAAAUGCGUAGAUAUCGGGAGGAACACCAGUGGCGAAAGCGGCUACCUGGCCCAUUCUUGACGCUGAGGCGCGAAAGCUAGGGGAGCAAAUGGG